GUCAUCACACUCGAAGGUCUUGGAUCGCGCGAUCACCUCGAUCCGGUACAACAGGCGUUCAUCGAGGAGCAGGCCGCGCAAUGCGGCUACUGCCUCAACGGCAUGAUCAUGACGACGAAGGCGCUGCUGAUGCAGAACCCACAUCCUUCCGAAUCUGAAGUGCUCAGUACAUUGCAGUACAACCUGUGCCGUUGCGGUGCGCACGUCGAAAUCCUGCGCGCGGUGAUGCGCGCUGCCGGCCACGUUGCUGAGGGAC
rnacentral:misc_RNA from 1 species